UAUAUAUAUAUAUAAAAAAAAAAAAAUAUAUAUAUAUAUAUAUUUUUUUUUUUUUUGGAAAUUAAGUAAAUCGAGUAAAUAAAUAACAAAAAACUUCCUGUUCCCGAUACCAUAGUUUUAUUAACUAUUAAAUAAAUCCAAGGUAUUUACCUAAUAAUGGUAAAUAAAUAAUAAAAACGUCCAUCUAGACAAAAAAUAUUUCUCUGUUUAAUUUCAAUUUAAUUUCAUUCGAUUUCGUUUUUGUUAUUCUAUUUUGUAACAUUUAACUGAGUGCUACUAUGUUUAUGUUUUACAAUUAAACACAAUUUUUAAUUAUUUUUGUAUCUUUUUCACUUUAUUUUUAAUUUUGUAAACUUCAUUUCAGUGCAGCAAACACCGCCGGGAUAAGUUCACAACUGAAAUAUUUCUUAUUUAUUUUAUAAUUGUUUUAUUGUGUUAUUUGUUUAUAUAAAUAUUUAAAAAUGUAUUUGUGGUAAAAUAUGAGCUGAAACCUUUUUACAUUUAUGUAUAGUUGUAUUUUUUUUUUUUUGCAUACCACAUAUGAUGUGACAUCAUAGCCUAUGAUGCAUGAUUUUAAUAAUAAUAAUAUGUGAUAAGCUAUUAUGAAAUAAUGUGACACAAACGUGUGUGUUUUUGUGAGAUUCCCUGAGUUCAGUGAGUUCUCCGGAGGUUCUCUGGGGCUCCUGGUGGAUUUCAGCUGCUCUUGUGCCGUAAAAAAGUACAACAGAACAGAUUAUUUUCUUGCUGGAUGAAAGCGGUCUGACCUGCUGUUGUCAUCAGGAGCACAGAAAACCACUGAGAAGACCCAAAGUCUGCAAAUGUAAAUAUAGAUAUGCUCUGAAUAUAAGAUUUAAUGUUAAAAAAAAGACAGAUUCAAAGCAAUAUAUUUACAGUCUGUUGCUAUAGAAACCACACACGUCUUUUCUAUAACCUGCAUUUUUACAAUAAUGUUCAAAAGCAAAUGUCAAUAAAGGAUUUAUGUAACGUUACAUGCUUCUCAAUCUGUUUCAUCGAUUGAAUGCUUCACUUUUGCUCCAGCCACUGACAAUAAUUCAGGUGCAUUCAAGUUUUAUUUCAAAAAUUGCUGAAAGGAAGUUGCCAUAAUUCAUUCCUUCGCAGCAAGGAAAGCCAUCUUCACCGGGUAGAGGAAAUGUACAAUUCUGCCUAAGAUGUAGUGUUUUGUUGACGUCUCCCCCUCCACCUCCCCUUCCCGUCGUGCUCACGCUCACUGUGUUUUUGUCUCCAGCCCUAAACACACACCUCUUUCACAGCGACCUGUUCUUGAUGAAGUAUGAGCGCAGGAUGUUAAUGUUCUUUGUCGCUGUACAGGCGACAUGCAUGAUCUGCGUUCAUUGCGAGAGACACUAUCUCCAGUAUCGUUACACCGUUCUCACCAGACCUGACGGGUUCUCCGGGCCCGUGUUCAGUGCUGUGUGUCUGUGUGAUGACAGACAGAUCUCUCACUACAGCAAUGAAGAACAGAUCUGGAAAAGAGACCGACUGGAUGCAGACAUCUGGAGAGACGUGGAAGAACCAGAUGUUUCUAGAGAAUGGCUUCUACAUCUGGUUAACACUCUGGCAAACUGCACGAGCUCCAGAUGUGACGGCCUCCAUACCCUACAGAGGACAGUCGGCUGUGAGGUUGAUAAACGUCCAGACGGGUCGGUGAUGAGCGUGAACGCGUUUGAUGAGUACGGAUUUGAUGGAGAUGAUUUUAUUGCCUUUGACAUGGACGCAAUGCAAUGGAAGGAUAAAAGUCCAAAGGCAAGAGAAACCAAAACGGAAUGGGACGCAGACAGACUUCACAAUCAGCAUCUCCAGUCAUACCUCAACAACAUCAUAGACUGGAUCUCCACGUUUAAGGCUCUGACAAGCAGUAUGUGUUUCUCCGUUUCGAAUUCAAGCGCACGUGUCUGUUUGUUCAGAAUCGGUCUCAUUCGUGGUGUGCUUCGUAUCGCAGCUCCUCCAUCCCUUCACAUGUUUGCCUCCGAGUCUCCUCAUGAGCGAAGCGAGCUGAGUCUGACCUGCCUGGCCACCGACUUCUACCCCAAACACACAGAGAUGAAGAUCACCCUCAACAACACCACACUCCGGCCCUUCAGCUCUACUGGAGUCAGACCCAACGGUCACCAAACCUUUCAGAUGAGAACCAGCGUGAAGAUACACAGAGAUGACAAACAGAGUUAUGAGUGCCGUGUCCUUCACAGCGGUCAGACACUUACAGCAUCGUGGGAAGGAAGUCUGGAAUCUAGAUGCCACUAUUCGGCAAUAUUCGUUUUUUUUGCUUUUGCUUUUUGCGUGUGCCGUGCUAUGCAUCAAGUAUUCAAUCUUCAGAAAGAGAAGCAAAGAACACGGUGAAAGACCUCAGGAUCUCCUGAGCGCAGGAGACAGACGUGAAGCUGAUACACACUAGUGCAGAUGAUCCACGCAGCUACGCUAGGUGUUAAAACUACGGUUGCAUUAAAUUGCUGCUGUGAUAUGAGAUCCAGCUGAAGAAGAGAACACAGACAGGAGCUGCGUGAACACAAACCAUCAAACACAUCGAAAAAAGGAGCAUCUUUAUCAAACCAGAACCAGAAACUAUUUGUUAUUCAUUCAUCACGCAACUAUAACAAACAUACUUGUCCUGGUGUUGUUAAAUGUGGAGCUCCAGUUCGCCGAUCCCGUUCCCUUUUGGUUUCUUCAGCUUUGAAAUCUUUAAAAAAAAAAAAAAAAAUUAGCGAAAAGAAUUAUAAAAGCGAUAGAAGAUUUAAUAUUAAGUUGGGGAGACCUCAAUCGAUUUUGUUGUAAUAAAACCAAUUAUUUUGAAAAACUUACUCUGAAAAACUUCUUUAGAUCUAAUUAGACUGAUUUAAAAUGGGAUAAAUACAUGAAAGAGGCAUUUAUGUUAUUGUACUUUUAACAAAUAAAGAAUGAAUAGUUGAAAAAGACAAAGAAUAGACAUAAUCAUAUUUAGAUGAGAUUGGACAACUGAACGAACACAAUUACUAAACAAGAUAAGUUGAUAAAAAUGAGUGACAAUCACACAAUAGAGUUGUUGCAAAAUGUGAAGUUAAAGAAUUUCAUUUUAGCUACUUAACAACUAGAUAUUAAACCGAAGAGGUAAAAUUAGAUUUUUUCUAAAAUGCAAUAUACCUGCAUCAGUGGCUUAUAUGAGAGAGAUCACAAAAGAGUUUGACUCAUGCAUGAAAGUAUAUGCGAUAACUAGGAAAUCAUUAUUGAAGCAAUAAAUGGCUGGUAGUAUGUCUCUGGAUGGUCCAGAAAUGAGAAGAAACGUCUCGGUCACGUAUGUAAGCCUCGUUCCCUGAUGGAGGGAAUGGAGAUGUUAUGUCGUAACGAUAGACCGGGGUCUUGCUUGGAGCCCUUAUUAGCUCUGAUUAAGAGAAAACGCCAAUGAAAUUGGUUGAUAUACAAAACAGCGCAGACCAACCGUUUGCCGAUCCCAUUCCCUUUCGGUUUCUUCAGCUUUGAGGGUUUUUGAAGAGCGUUGGAAUCGAAUCCUCUCCAUCGAGUCCUCUCCAUCGAGUCCUCUCCAUCGAGUCCUCUCCAUCGAGUCCUCUCCAUCGAGUCCUCUC